AUUUACCUGGUGAUGUGAGGGGCUGGUGGUUCUCCAUCAUGGCAUCCGUGUGCAGAUCCUUGUGUCUUUCUAUAUAUUCCCACUCCUCCAUUGAGAAACAGACAGUGACAUCCUGACAUCUUAUAGAAACCU